rnacentral:pre_miRNA from 12 species
AGUGUAGUAUGCUGUGGAAGACUAGUGAUUUUGUUGUUGUAAAUUCAUGUUUUUGACAACAGAGUCACAGUCUACCUCGGUAUUCCACACC